rnacentral:lncRNA from 1 species
GCUGUAGCCAUUACAAUGGGGCCAAAGGGAAGAACAGUAAUUAUUGAACAUAGCUGGGGAAGUCCCAAAGUAACAAAAGAUGGUGUGACUGAUGCAAAGUCAAUUGACUUAAAGGAUAAAUAUAAAAGCAUUGGAGCUAAACUUGUCCAAGAUGUUGCCAAUAACACAGAUGAAGAGACUGGGGGAUGGCACUAUCACUGCUGCUGUACUGGUAUGCUCUAUUUCCAAAUAAGGCUUCCAGAAGGUUAGCAAAGGUGCUAAUCCAGUGGAAAUCAAGAGAGGUGUGAUGUUAGCUGUUGAUGCUGUAAUUGCUGAACUUAAAAAGCAGUCUAAACCUGUGACCAAACCUGAAGAAAUUGCACAGGUUGCUACAAUUUCUGCAAAUGGAGACAAAGAAAUUGGUAACAUCAUCUCUGAUGCAAUGAAAAAGUUUGGAAGAAAGGGCAUCAUCACAGUAAAGGAUGGAAAAACACUGACUGAUGAAUUAGAAAUUAUUGAAGGCAUGAAAAUUUGAUCGAGGAUAUAUUUCUCCAUACUUUAUUAAUACAUCAAAAGGUGAGAAAUGUGAAUUCCAGGAUGCCUAUGUUCUGUUGCAUGAAAAGAAAAUUUCUAGUGUCCAGUCCAUUGUAACUGCUCUUGAAAUUGCCAAUGCUUACUGUAAGCCUUUGGUCAUAAUUGCUGGAGACAUUGAUGGAGAAGCUCUAACUACACUCAUCCUGAAUAGGCUAAAGGUUGGUCUUCAGGUUGUGGCAGUCAAAGCUCCAGGGUUUGGUGACAAUAGAAAGAACCAGCUUAAAGAUACGGUUAUUGCUACUGGUGGUACAGUGUUUGGAGAAGAGGGCUGACACUAAAUCUUGAAGACGUUCAGCCUCGUGACGUAGGAGAAGUUGGAGAGGUCACUGUGAUCAAAGAUUAUGCCAUGCUCUUAAAAGGAAAAGGUAACAAGUCUCAAAUUGAAAAAUGUGUUCAAGAAAUCAUUGACCAGUCAGAUGUCACAACUAGUGAAUACGAAAAGGAAAAAGUGAGUGGAGAAACUUUCAGAUGGAGUAGCUGUGCUGAAGGUUGGUGGGACAAGUGAUGUUGAAGUGAAUGAAGAGAAAGACAGAGUUAUAGGUGCACUUAAUGCUACAAGAGCUGCUGUUGAAGAAGGCAUUGUUUAGGGAGGGGGUUGUGCCCUGCUUCGAUGCAUUCCAGCCUUGGACUCAUUCACUCCAGCUAAUGAAGAUAAAAUAAUUGGUAUAGAAAUUAUUAAAAGAACACUCAAAAUUCCAGCAAUGACAAUUGCUAAGAAUGCAGGUGUUGAUGGAUUUUUGAUAGUUGAGAAAAUUAUGUAAAGUUCCUCAGAAGUUGGUUAUGAUACUAUGUUAGGAGAUGUCGUGAAUAUGGUGGAAAAAGACAUUAUUGACCCAACAAAGGUUGUGAGAACUGCUUCAUUGGAUGCUGCUGGCAUGGCCUCUCUAUUAACUACAGCAGCUGUUGUAGUCACAGAAAUUCCUAAAGAAGGGAACAGCCCUGGAAUGGGUGCAAUGUGUGGAAUGGGAGGUGGCCUGUUCUAA